GGGCGGUUAGCUCAGCGGUAGAGCACUGCUUUCACACGGCAGGGGUCACAAGUUCGAACCUUGUACCGCCCACCA
rnacentral:tRNA from 2 species